GUGAAAGUUUCUAAGGGCGCAUGGUGGAUGCCUUGGCAACAGGAGCCGAAGAAGGACGUGGGAAUCUGCGAUAAGCCUGGUGGAGUCGAUAACCGGACGUUGAGACCAGGAUUUCCGAAUGGGGAAACCCCGCACGACGUGUCGUGUGACCCCCCGGUUGAACACAUAGACCGGGUGGAGGGAACGUGGGGAAGUGAAACAUCUCAGUACCCACAGGAAGAGAAAACAAAAAGUGAUUCCGUUAGUAGUGGCGAGCGAACGCGGAUGGGGCUAAACCGUAUGUGUGUGAUACCCGGCAGGGGUUGCAUGUGCGGUGUUGUGGGCCCCUCCUUGUCAUGUCUGCCGGCAUGGCGCAGUGAGGUGCGGGCAUAUAGACGAACCAGUGUGGAUGCUGGACCGUAGAGGGUGAGAGUCCCGUAGUCGAAAUGUGUUCCGCCGCUGUUGGGGGGGUUGCCCGAGUAGCACGGGGGCCCGAGGAAUCCCGUGUGAAUCUGCCAGGACCACCUGGUAAGCCUGAAUACUACCUGUUGACCGAUAGCGGAUCAGUACCGUGAGGGGAAUGGUGAAAAAGUACCCCCGGGGAGGGGGAGUGAAAUAGUACCUGAAAACCAUGUGCCUACAAACCGUUGGAGCCUUCUUGUGGGGUGACAGCGUGCCUUUUUGAAGAAUGAGCCUGCGAGUUAGUGAUACGUGGCGAGGUUAACCCGUGUGGGGAAGCCGUAGCGAAAGCGAGUCUGAAUAGGGCGG
rnacentral:rRNA from 1 species